UGUGUGUGUGUGUGUGUGUGUGUUUGUUUUUAUUACAUGGUGGGGACCUCAGCAUGUUAGCACACUCACAAAGUGGGGACCAAAAACAUAGUGGGGACCGUACGCCUGGUCCCCACUAUGUUUUGCCUUUAAAAGACUCAGGGGGCGUUGCUGAUAUGCCUAGUGCUGUUUUUUUCAUUGAUCCCCACCUUGACCAAUCACCUGAUUUGAGUGUGUGAGUGUGUGUCGGCGCACUGCUCUAUAGCGCCCCUGUAGUCGGAUGGCGGUACUGCACCCUCACACACACUUGGCGCAAUAUACACACUCUAGCUAUUGCACAUGCGCAGAUCUCCUGAAUAAAUCCGACUUUAAUUAAAUUAAUUAAGGUUCAUCAAAUUAAUCGAGGUUUGCGGGUAAGUUAGAAUGUUUUUCAUCAUCAUAAUGUAAUAAAAUCGGUUAUAUGACGAAUAUUUCUGUUGCAUACUUUUGACAGUUAUCAGGUAAAGUUACAUGUUUUAACUAAUUUCCUGGGUGUUUUAAUCGAUGUUGUUUCAAAUUACGUAUUAAUAAAACAUUGAUAAGACACAAACUACAGUUCGGUAUGUAAUUUAACUUGUUUACACGAGUAAAAGUUACUCGCGCUAAUGUGCUAACGUGCUAACUGCCCGGUGCUGCGUGAAUCAGAGGCCGGAGUGAAGUGCGUGAGCCGCGGCCGGACGGUCACCACGCCCCGGGCGUCUAAAUGGAUCGACGGAGGAUAAAAUCAUUAAAAGAUGCGGAGAAACACAUCACCAGCUCCACUGACAAGACCCAUUCACUGGAAACCGAUUAUAUAGAAGGUUACUAAGUUUUGCGGCAUUGAUGCCGCUCGUGGCGGGACCCUCGGCCGGCUGGUGAAUGAUGACUAUCUGCACCCAAACUGCACUGUCAAUAAGAUUGUUGUUCAGAGAAAAACAUCACUUGUGCCUUUUUGCAAUCAGGGACAUUUUCCCUGGAGAGGAAAUAACUUUUGACUAUGGCGCAUGUGAUUGGCCUUGGAGAAAGCUUUCAUUGAAGGAUAACCAUAUGACUGCAGAAGAGAACUGCUCCCACAACUCUCUGAUGAGCUUUUAUUGAAGAAUGACCAAAUGACAGAACUGCUCUGCUCCAGUAGGAGUCCCACAACUCUCUGAUGAGCUUUUAUUGAAGAAUGACCAAAUGACAGAAAGAGAGAACUGCUCUGCUCCAGUAGGAGUCCCACAACUCUCUGAUGAGCUUUUAUUGAAGAAUGACCAUAUGACACAAGAGAGAAGUACUCUGCUCCAGUAGGAGUCCAACAACUCUCUGAUGAGAGAAAGUUACAGUGGAUCGUGUUUUUGGAGAAGGUGAAGUCCAGUCUAAAAGAGUCCCCUCAAGUAUCAUCACCAUGGUACAGUGUCUGUGAAGAUAGUGAAGCAGACCCAGCAUUCACAAAAAAAAGAGAGGUCCCAUAAGGAGAAGACCCUGGAGCAAACAGGAAGUACAUGCUGUGGUGAAAGCUGAACCAUUAGUUCUAAAAACCAGAGAUUGGUCAGAUUUGGAUUUUUAUAUUAAAAACUGAAUCUUGUCUCUUUAAAGAGAAAUCUGGGUAACACUUUUAUAGUAACUACACACUAUAAAUCAUUUGUUUAGCACUAACUCUACAUUAAUAGACUUUGGUAAGCAGUUUAUAAAUACAGCUACAAAGGCUGUGUUCUUGACUUGACUUAAUUGUAUUUUCAUGCUUUGUUACUGAUUUAUUUUUCAUUACUAAAUUAAGUAUUGCAUUAUUUACAAAC